rnacentral:rRNA from 1 species
AAAGCGUGCGCAGGCGGUUAUGUAAGACAGAGGUGAAAUCCCCGGGCUCAACCUGGGAACUGCCUUUGUGACUGCAAGGCUAGAGUACGGCAGAGGGGGAUGGAAUUCCGCGUGUAGCAGUGAAAUGCGUAGAUAUGCGGAGGAACACCGAUGGCGAAGGCAAUCCCCUGGGCCUGUACUGACGCUCAUGCACGAAAGCGUGGGGAGCAAACAGGAUUAGAUACCCUAGU